CGUGUAGGCGGGAAGGAAAGUCAGAUGUGAAAUCCCCAGGCUCAACCUGGGAACUGCAUUUGAAACUCCCUUUCUUGAGUACCGGAGAGGAAAGUGGAAUUCCUGGUGUAGAGGUGAAAUUCGUAGAUAUCAGGAGGAACACCAGUGGCGAAGGCGGCUUUCUGGACGGCAACUGACGCUGAGACGCGAAAGCGUGGGGAAGCAAACA
rnacentral:rRNA from 1 species